rnacentral:rRNA from 1 species
AUUGAACGCUGGCGGCAUGCUUUACACAUGCAAGUCGAACGGCAGCGGGGAGAGGCUUGCUUCUCUGCCGUCGAGUGGCGAACGGGUGAGUAAUACAUCGGAACGUGUCGAGAAGAGGGGGAUAACCACCCGAAAGGGUGGCUAAUACCGCAUAAAUUCUGAGGAGGAAAGCUGGGGACCUAGGAAUAGGCCUAGCGCUUUUUGAGCGGCCGAUGUCGGAUUAGCUAGUUGGUGAGGUAAAGGCUCACCAAGGCGAAGAUCUGUAGCGGGUCUGAGAGGAUGAUCCGCCACACUGGGACUGAGACACGGCCCAGACUCCUACGGGAGGCAGCAGUGGGGAAUUUUGGACAAUGGGGGCAACCCUGAUCCAGCCAUGCCGCGUGUAUGAAGAAGGCCUUAGGGUUGUAAAGUACUUUUGUUAGGGAAGAAAAGUCAGCUGUGAAUAAUGGCUGAUACUGACGGUACCUAAAGAAUAAGCACCGGCUAACUACGUG